rnacentral:rRNA from 1 species
GUAGGGUGCAGGCGUUAAUCGGAAUUACUGGGCGUAAAGCGUGCGCAGGCGGCUCCUUAAGUCAGAUGUGAAAUCCCCGGGCUUAACCUGGGAACUGCGUUUGAAACUGGGGAGCUGGAGUGUGGAAGAGGGGGGUGGAAUUCCAGGUGUAGCAGUGAAAUGCGUAGAGAUCUGGAGGAACACCGAUGGCGAAGGCAGCCCCCUGGGCUAACACUGACGCUCAUGCACGAAAGCGUGGGGAGCAAACAGGAUUAGAUACCCUGGUAGUCCACGCCCUAAACGAUGUCAACUGGUUGUCGGGGAAGUAAUUCCUUGGUAACGAAGCUAACGCGUGAAGUUGACCGCCUGGGGAGUACGGCCGCAAGGCUA